GAUGAAGAACGUAGCGAAAUGCGAUAAGUAAUGUGAAUUGCAGAAUUCAGUGAAUCAUCGAAUCUUUGAACGCACCUUGCGCCCUUUGGUAUUCCUUAGGGCAUGCCUGUUCGAGCGUCAUUUAAACCUUCAAGCUCAGCUUGGUGUUGGGUGACUUUCCGCUUCACCGCGGACUCGCCUCAAAAUUAUUGGCGGCCGGUACAUUGGCUUCGAGCGCAGCAGAAACGCGAACUCGGGCCCGUCGUAUUGGCUCCCAGAAGCUAUCUUCACAAUUUUGACCUCGGAUCAGGUAGGGAUACCCGCUGAACUUAAGCAUAUCAUAAGCGGAGGA
rnacentral:misc_RNA from 1 species